rnacentral:rRNA from 1 species
GACGAACGCUGGCGGCGUGCUUAACACAUGCAAGUCGAACGGAAAGGCCCUGCUUUUGUGGGGUGCUCGAGUGGCGAACGGGUGAGUAACACGUGAGUAACCUGCCCUUGACUUUGGGAUAACUUCAGGAAACUGGGGCUAAUACCGGAUAGGAGCUCCUGCUGCAUGGUGGGGGUUGGAAAGUUUCGGCGGUUGGGGAUGGACUCGCGGCUUAUCAGCUUGUUGGUUGGGUAGUGGCUUACCAAGGCUUUGACGGGUAGCCGGCCUGAGAGGGUGACCGGCCACAUUGGGACUGAGAUACGGACCAGACUCCUACGGGAGGCAGCAGUGGGGAAUAUUGCACAAUGGGCGGAAGCCUGAUGAAGAAACGCCGCGUGCGGGAUGACGGCCUUCGGGUUGUAAACCGCUUUCGCCUGUGACGAAGCGUGAGUGACGGUAAUGGGUAAAGAAGCACCGGCUAACUACGUG